GGGAGAGGACAGAGUGGCCAACGGACGCCAAGCUUCAGAGUAACAGAGGCUCGACUGCUGAUCCGGCAGAGUGGUGUUGGUAAUCUUUCAAGGGGAGAGAGCAACCAAAACUGUAUUAGGGUCAGCAAAGGAAGUCUUUAUCUGCAAUUCCAGGCCGCUCUACGUGAUUUGUGGACGCUGUAAUAAUAAAUCUCCUUAAUGACUAGUAGGAAAAUAAAUACUAAUAACAAAAACAAAAUAACCUCACAAGAUAAGGAUUACUUAAGGAAGUGAACUGAAGAGAACGAAAACUAGCAAUUAUUCUCUUUUGUGCCUUCUGAAUUUUGAACUGAUGUCAAAAAAACUUUCAUCUGAUGAUGAAAGUACUCUUUAAAGCGAAAACUGUACUUGUUGGAAGUAACAAGAGUCCUACGGAUCGUGUGAGAUAAUGGAGACGACUUUUUUUUUUUUUCAAUCUACUUAAAUGUAAUGAACAAUCUUAUUAAGAAAAGUAUACUAACAGGGAAGCUUUUAACAGUAGAUUUGCCAUAUUGAGCUGGACUCCUUUGCUUCAGGAAAAAAGAUGAGGUAAUCACCUAUCUUUAAACUGUUAAAAUUAGAGUCAAAGAAAACACACUUGAAGUGGCAUUUAAAUGACAAUAAUAAAUUUGUCAAAUUUGUUUCUCUCUUUUGCUUUGAAAAAAAGAUAUUCUUGAAAGGCAAUUUUGUAAGUAAAUAGAUUUGCUGUCAUAGUAAAUCC